rnacentral:tRNA from 1 species
GUUAAUGUAGCUUAAUCAACUAAAGCAAGGCACUGAAAAUGCCUAGACGGGUUAAUAAACCCCAUAAACA